UGCCGGGUCGUCUAACGGUAGGACACACGCCUCUGGAGCGUGGUAUCGGGGUUCGAGUCCCUGCCCGGCAGCCA
rnacentral:tRNA from 1 species